UAACUUCCAAGUUCCCGAGCCGCGCCUCUCCGGGGUUUCGGAAUUCCCAGCCUGAGAAAGAGCCGCAAACUGGAGGAAUGAAGGCUGUGAUUCUCAACCUGGGUGGCACUAGGAUUUAUUGAACUGUGCCUUAGU
rnacentral:lncRNA from 1 species